rnacentral:rRNA from 1 species
CCUACGGGAGGCAGCAGUGGGGAAUAUUGGACAAUGGGGGAAACCCUGAUCCAGCGACGCCGCGUGAGUGAAGAAGUAUUUCGGUAUGUAAAGCUCUAUCAGCAGGGAAGAGAAUGACGGUACCUGACUAAGAAGCCCCGGCUAACUACGUGCCAGCAGCCGCGGUAAUACGUAGGGGGCAAGCGUUAUCCGGAUUUACUGGGUGUAAAGGGAGCGUAGACGGCUGUGCAAGUCUGAAGUGAAAUGCCGGGGCUCAACCCCGGAACUGCUUUGGA